AUUGAACGCUGGCGGCAGGCCUAACACAUGCAAGUCGAACGAGUGGCGGACGGGUGAGUAAUUUCUUGGAACCUGCCUUCUGGCGGGGUAUAACUACUGGAAACAGUAGCUAAUCCCGCAUACCAUCAGAUGUGCCCAUAUGGGAUUAGCUUGUUGGUGGGGUAACGGCUCACCACGGCGACGAUCCCUAGCUGGUCUGAGAGGAUGACCAGCCACACUGGAACUGAGACACGGUCCAGACUCCUACGGGAGGCAGCAGUGGGGAAUAUUGCACAAUGGGCGCAAGCCUGAUGCAGCCAUGCCGCGUGUAUGAAGAAGGCCUUCGGGUUGUAAAGUACUUUCAGCGGGGAGGCGUUACCCGCAGAAGAAGCACCGGCUAACUACGUGCCAGCAGCCGCGGUAAUUC
rnacentral:rRNA from 1 species